UGGGGAAUAUUGGACAAUGGGCGAAAGCCUGAUCCAGCCAUGCCGCGUGUGUGAAGAAGGUCUUCGGAUUGUAAAGCACUUUAAGUUGGGAGGAAGGGCAUUAACCUAAUACGUUAGUGUUUUGACGUUACCGACAGAAUAAGCACCGGCUAACUCUGUGCCAGCAGCCGCGGUAAUACAGAGGGUGCAAGCGUUAAUCGGAAUUACUGGGCGUAAAGCGCGCGUAGGUGGUUUGUUAAGUUGGAUGUGAAAGCCCCGGGCUCAACCUGGUAACUGCAUCCAAAACUGGCAAGCUAGAGUACGGUAGAGGGUGGUGGAAUUUCCUGUGUAGCGGUGAAAUGCGUAGAUAUAGGAAGGAACACCAGUGGCGAAGGCGACCACCUGGACUGAUACUGACACUGAGGUGCGAAAGCGUGGGGAGCAAACA
rnacentral:rRNA from 1 species